rnacentral:rRNA from 1 species
UACGUAGGGUCCAAGCGUUAAUCGGAAUUACUGGGCGUAAAGCGUGCGCAGGCGGUUUGUUAAGCGAGAUGUGAAAGCCCCGGGCUCAACCUGGGAAUUGCAUUUCGAACUGGCAAACUAGAGUCUUGUAGAGGGGGGUAGAAUUCCAGGUGUAGCGGUGAAAUGCGUAGAGAUCUGGAGGAAUACCGGUGGCGAAGGCGGCCCCCUGGACAAAGACUGACGCUCAGGCACGAAAGCGUGGGGAGCAAACAGG